UUGAAUAAUGAGGAAAAGCAUGUUUGGUUUGAAAAGUUAGCAAAUGUGUGCAUGACUAACGGAAAGCACAGGGCGGCGGCUUACAUCUAUUUGGAACAAUGUUACAACGUCGACCAAGCUUUGAAUUGCUACUUGUCAGGACACUUGUUUAAGGAGUUCAUUGAGAUCAUAGAGGAUUCCCUCUUGACCGCGCAAAUCAACAAAAAUGGUUAUCUUUGCCAACUUACGGAUACUUUAGUGGAGAAUAUUGAAAAUGUGAAAGCGAGCGUGGUCGGGCAAAAUGUAUGAACUGCAUUUUGAACGAUUGAAAGUUGUUCGCGAAAGUCGCAAAGAUCGGGCGGAUUGUGCACUUGACGGCGACGACGCCUACUCUGAGGCGGGUAGUGUCACGACACGAAGUCAUUCAUCGUACGCGAGUACCACGACUCGUCGUACUCGGAAGCUUGAAAUGAAACUGCGUUCGUUGCGACAUGGUGGAAAAUUUGAAGAUAUUGCACUGAUGCGUGAAUUGUAUGACA